UACGACUACAUAUCAGGCAUAUCAAUAAGCGGAGGAAAAGAAACUAACAAGGAUUCCCCUAGUAACGGCGAGUGAAGCGGGAAGAGCUCAAAUUUGAAAUCUUAAAGGGUUUCCCUUUACGAAUUGUAGUUUAAAGAAGUGUUUUCUGUUGGAGUUUCGGUAAAAGUUCUUUGGAAUAGGACAUCAUAGAGGGUGAGAAUCCCGUAUUUGACCGUUACUUUCCAGCUGUGUGAUACACUUUCAAAGAGUCGGAUUGUUUGGGAAUGCAGUCCAAGAUGGGUGGUAAAUUUCAUCUAAAGCUAAAUAUUGGCGAGAGACCGAUAGCGAACAAGUACCGUGAGGGAAAGAUGAAAAGAACUUUGAAAAGAGAGUUAAACAGUACGUGAAAUUGCCAAAAGGGAAGCGUUUGACACCAGUGUUGUUUUCUCGAAAAUCAAUUAAAAAUGGCUUGAUUUUGUGUUGUAUUGACCUUAUCAGCUUUCUUCACUCUUUUUCGAGUCUUUCUUAAUGCACUUUUCGGUUAACAAGUCAACAUCAAUUUCUUUUGUUGUAAAAGGGUAUUUGGAAGGUGGCUUUCUUUUCGGAGAAAGUGUUUAUAGCCUUAUACCUCUACAAUCGGAGAGAUUGAGGUCUGCAGCGUAGAUCCUUCGGGGCUAGAUACACUUGUGCUAAGUUAUAGCUUUUCAUAGACAACUUGUUGACUAUGUUUAGUCAUGUAGCUUACCCGCUUGUGCUAUUUUACCUACGCUUAGGAUGUUGAUCUACAGAGCGAGAGU
rnacentral:rRNA from 1 species